rnacentral:rRNA from 1 species
AUUGAACGCUGGCGGCGUGCUUAACACAUGCAAGUCGCUCGGUAACGCGGGGGCAACCCUGGCGACGAGAGGCGGACGGGUGAGGAACGCUUGGGAAUCUGCCCUUCAGCGGGGGACAACACGGGGAAACUCGUGCUACUACCGCAUACGCCCGCCGGAGGAAAGCCGGGGACCGCAAGGCCUGGCACUGAAGGAUGAGCCCAAGUCGGAUUAGCUAGUUGGCGGGGUAACGGCCCGCCAAGGGGACGAUCCGUAGCUGGUCUGAGAGGACGAUCAGCCACACUGGGACUGAGACACGGCCCAGACUCCUACGGGAGGCAGCAGUGGGGAAUAUUGGACAAUGGGGGAAACCCUGAUCCAGCGACGCCGCGUGGGUGAAGAAGGCCUGCGGGUUGUAAAGCCCUAUCGGUAGGGACGAAAGCUCUCGACCUAACACGUCGGGAGGUUGACUUAACCUACAAAAGAAGCACCGGCUAACUCUGUGCCAGCCGCCGCCGUAAAAC